GACGAACGCUGGCGGCGUGCUUAACACAUGCAAGUCGAGCGAUGAAGUUCCUUCGGGAAUGGAUUAGCGGCGGACGGGUGAGUAACACGUGGGUAACCUGCCUCGUAGAGGGGAAUAGCCUUCCGAAAGGAAGAUUAAUACCGCAUAAGAUUGUAGUACCGCAUGGUAUAGCAAUUAAAGGAGUGAUCCGCUAUGAGAUGGACCCGCGUCGCAUUAGCUAGUUGGUGAGGUAACGGCUCACCAAGGCGACGAUGCGUAGCCGACCUGAGAGGGUGAUCGGCCACAUUGGACUGAGACACGGCCCAGACUCCUACGGGAGGCAGCAGUGGGGAAUAUUGCACAAUGGGGGAAACCCUGAUGCAGCAACGCCGCGUGAGUGAUGACGGUCUUCGGAUUGUAAAGCUCUGUCUUCAGGGACGAUAAUGACGGUACCUGAGGAGGAAGCCACGGCUAACUACGUGCCAGCCGCCGCAGUAAUAC
rnacentral:rRNA from 1 species